rnacentral:RNase_P_RNA from 1 species
GGUGGAAACCAGGUGGCCGCGCGCGGCCCUACGGCCGUGUCGAGGAAAGUCCGGGCUCCUCAGGGCAGGGUGCUGGGUAACUCCCAGUGGGAGAAAUCCCAAGGAAAGUGCCACAGAGAACAGACCGCCUGCGGCGAAAGCCGCGGGCAAGGGUGAAACGGUGAGGUAAGAGCUCACCAGUGCCGGCGGCGACGCCGGCAGCUAGGCAAACCCCACCCGGAGCAAGACCGAAUAGGAGAGGAGAGACGGCCCGUCUCGUUCCCACUCUCGGGUAGGUCGCUCGAGACGCGCGGAGACGCGCGUUCAAGACAAAUGGUCACCGCAGCGCACGGCCGAUUCGUUCGGCUUCUUCAUGCAGCUGACAGAACCCGGCUUACGGUUUCCUCCGGCA